rnacentral:rRNA from 1 species
UACCAGCACCCCGAGUGGUCGGGACGAUUAUUGGGCCUAAAGCAUCCGUAGCCGGUCAUGCAAGUCCUCCGUUAAAUCCAGCCGCUCAACGGUUGGGCUGCGGAGGAUACUACGUGGCUAGGAGGCGGGAGAGGCAAGCGGUACUCAGUGGGUAGGGGUAAAAUGCGUAGAUAUAUGGAAGAACACCAAUAACGGCGAAGGCAGUUAACUAUUCUGUUACUGACAUUGAGGCACGAAAGCGUGGGGAGCAAAAAGG